rnacentral:lncRNA from 1 species
CUUCCCUUCAACUCCAUCCUAUAACUACAACAAAACCUCAAUUCCGGCCACCAAAUCGAUCGAGAUCGAUGUUUCGAACGCUGGCAAGAUUGCGGAGGAACAUAAGGAAGAGCCCUAGGGUAGCUGAUGAGAGCAUCUUGGGAGGAGGAGGAGGAGGAGGAGGAGGAGGAGGGAUGAACAUGAGGGUAGUAGUUGGUGAUGACCAUCAACAACAAGCGCACACGUUAAACAAGUUCUCUACGGUGGUGAGCCUGGUCCUUGUGCCGUUUUCGAUCUUUGCUUGCCUCUCGCAACCUCAUGUCAAUGGGGCGGACGGGAUGUGGGCAUCGGCGGAGCUUCCACGGCUCUCGGAGGUCAACCAUCUAAUGGUCAAUGAUAGC